AAGUCGUAACAAGGUUUCCGUAGGUGAACCUGCGGAAGGAUCAUUAGCGAAGUCAAGUCCGGAUCCGUAGGGAUUGCAGCUGGCCUAACGGCAUGUGCUCAUCCCUUGGGUCUGUGACCUUCACUACCACACCCCACUGUGAACCAAGCGGGAGGUCGAAAGGCCUCUUGCAUCUUAUAAAAACCCCAAUUGCAUGUCUUAGAAUGUUAUAGCGUUAACUCGCAACUAUACAACUUUCAACAACGGAUCUCUUGGCUCUC
rnacentral:misc_RNA from 1 species